UGUCGUCCAUGACGACCACCAAUGAUCCCACGGCCUGAGAGGAUCGCCUUCGGGUGGCUGUACAGAACACUCCUGUAGCCUGAAAGGGAGAACGCAAAGCGUGGUACAUCUGCCCGCCCCUGGAAGCAGAUAUCGUCACAAACAGCGCAC
rnacentral:sRNA from 1 species